AUUUAAUUACUUUGAAAAAACUGAAAACAUUAACAAGACCUUUGUUUCAAAUAUAAGCCUUUAAUUUUAAUGAUUCUCAUUUGUCUGUAAUAAUUUUAAUUUUAAUAAUUUUUACAUGAGUCCAUCUUUAGCCCCAUUGUAAACUACCAAAAACCAGUCACAAAAUAUUAAUAAUCAAAUAAAAUUUUUAUAAUUAUAUUUUCAUUCAGUGUGAGAAAAAAAUGAAGAGUGAUGUCUAUUUUCCAAAUACACCUGCCUCUCAACCUCCCCACAAUCUUAAACACCAGAGUAAUAUGUCAUAGUUAUACUGUAAUGUUACUCUUAAUAUUUUAACAUGAUUGCAUGUAUAGUUCUACAAAAGGUUUGAAGAAUGAAAAUGAUAAACUAGUUCAGUAUCAGGAAUCAUGUGAGUAGAGUGCAUUUCAAUUAGUUUCUUAUCUUGUGCUUGUGCUGGCAAGUUAAAAUCUCUAUAGCACUGAUCCUGGUGUAUAGAAAAAGUAGUGCUCAUACAAACACACACACAAACACACUCUCACCCUAAAACUUAAACACAGUCUCAGAGAUCAUUCAUGUUCUUCACUCUCUGCAGGCUGAGGAUCUGCAGUAUUGGAGAGGAAGGCUGUGCUGCUCUGAUUUCAGCUCUGAGAUCAAACCCCUCACACCUGACAGAACUGAAUCUGAGCUAUAAUAAACCAGGAGACUCAGGAGUGAAGCUGCUCUCUGAUCUACUGGAGGAUCCACACUGUAAACUGGAGAAACUACAAAUUUGACAUUGGAAACUCCACAUGCUCCAAACAACCGAAUCAAAACAACACGUCCUGAACAAAACUGUCACCUGGACAAAUGCUGAUAUUGUAGUGAAUUUGCUUUCACCACCUUUUAGAGCCUCUUUCUGUAUCAUUAACACCAGGAAGACACAAGAGUAAUAAAAUUAGUUGUAUUAAGAAUAGAUAAACAAAUGUAAUCAACAACUACUAAAUAAAAACCAUGAAUGAAAAAGCAAAAGUAAUAAAGU